rnacentral:lncRNA from 1 species
UAAGAGACAGACAGAGAGAGAGAGAGGCAGAGACAUAGACCCCAUGCGGGACUCCAUCCCGGAGCUCGGGAUCUCACCCUAAGUUAAAGGCAGAUGCUCAACUGCUGAACCACCCAGGCAUCCCAAAAGUCUGUUUCUUGGUUUCUGUAUAUCUCUCUCUCCCUCCCACUCUCUCUUUCUCUCUACAUUUGCACAUUUGUUUUGUUUCUUAAAUUCCACAUAUGAGUGAAAUCAUAUGGAUCAUAUGGUAUUUGUCUUUCUCUGAAUGAUCUAUUUCACUUAGCAUUAUACUCUUUAUUUCCAUCCAUGUCAUUGCAAAUGGUAAGAUAUCAUUCAUUUUUAUGGAUGAAUAAUAUUCCUUGUGUGUAUGUGUGUAUGUGUGUGUGUGUUCUUUAUUUAUUCAUCAAUCAAUGCACUUGGGCUGCUUCCAUAAUUUGGCUAUUGUAAAUAAUGCUGCUAUAAACAGAGGGAUAUAUAUAUCCCUUUGAAUUAAUAUUUUUGUAUUCUUGGAGUAGAUACCCAGUAGUGUGAUUCCUGGAUCAUAGAGUAGUUCUAUUAUUAACUUUUUGAGGAACCUCCACACUUUUCUACAGUGGCUGCACCAGUUGCAUUCCCACCAAGAGUGCAAAAGGGAUCCUUUGUCUCCACAUCCCCACCAACUCCUGUUGUUUCUUGUGCUGUUGAUUUCAGCCAUUCUGAUAGGUGUGAGGUAAUAUCUCACUGUAGUUUCGAUUUGCAUUUCCCUCAUAAUAAGUGAUAAAAAGCAUCUUUUCAUGUGUCUGUUGGCCUUCUACGUAUCUUCCUUGGAGAACUGUCUGUUCAGGUCUUCUGCCAUUUUUAAUUAGAUUAUUUGUUGAGUUUUAUAAAUUGUUUAUGUAUUUUGGAUACUAACCCUUUACCAGGUAUGUCACAACAUCUUUAUUCUUGAUUUUAUGUUGUUUUGUCCAUAUUGAAAUUCUUAAUAAUUUUUGAACAAGGAAGGAACUCUACAUUUUCAUUUUGUGUUGGGCCCAGGAAAUUAUGUAGCUAAUCCUGGGAUAAAUUUAACAAAGAAAUUAACCCAUUGAUUUAAAAUUUGUAGCUUAAUGUCAGAUUAUACUUCCUAAUAAAAAAAUAAUGAUAUAACUUAUUUUGUCCUACUUGGGCCUUUAACAUUCUCUAUAAUCCAAAAACAUGUUAAACUAUUGAAUAUAUCUUUCAGUAACUAGCUCUAUAUUUUGGGAUAAGUCAGUAAUCUGAGAUUAACAUCUCAAUUUGUAGCUCUGCAAAUUGAGGAUAGGAAUACUCAUCUCAAAGAUUUGUUCUAAGGAUUAAAUAGUAGUGUAUUUAAAACUAUUUUACUCAUGACCUAGAAAAUUGAAAUGGCUCAUGUUAAGUACCAUCAUGCAUAUAUAAGUUGAGAUAAUGUUAUAUAAAAGUGUUAAAUAAAUAAAACUAUUAUUUUACAAUAUAAUAUUAUUUAUUAAAUAUUUGGAAGUAUAGUAAUAUAUACAUGGUUUUAAUAAUUUUUAAAAAGAAUUAAUGGAAUUAGGUUCAUAAACUUUCGACACAGCAGUUUACUACCUUGUAUUUGUCAAGUGCCUUUUCUGUCUACUGGUUUAUACCCCAAUUUUGAAGUUUCAAAGAAAGUAGCAUGUCUAAGGUAAGAGCCAGACCUGAAGCUGAAAACACGGCUUUCUAAUGUCAAAUACAAAGUUUUUCCCUUCACACCAGCCAGAUAAUGGUGCAUGUGCCAGAUACUUCAUAAGCAGAGUGAUAGGUUGUAUCACACUCAAAAAGUGCAGAAAUCUUGGUCACUGUCCUUGAAGAGCUUAUAAUUUUGUUGAGUAGAAUAGAAUAGAAUACAUAAACACCAAUACACAUUAAUUUAUAUGACAAUAUAAAAAAUGAAACACUGUAUUUCAUGAUCUGGGGAAGACUGGAGAUUUGAAAUAUUCACCUUGGUAGAUUACUUCGGGCAUGCUAAAGUUUGACCCCAAAAAUUCUUGCAUCUUUUCAACCCUAUGUUACUGAAAUGCUCUCAGGCACUGGGAACUUGAGUCUGUCCUAACUUGCUUGCCUCCCAGAUACACCUCUAAAACAUACUAUUGUCUCUUGGAAUUUAAAUAACUGAUUCUGAAACUUUCACAUAUCUGUUCUCUGAUUCUGAUCAAUAUAUAAAAUAUAUUUUUGCCACCUCUGAAUAAAAAUGUGAAUAUUAUGGCCUAAUGAAGACAUAGUAGCAUAAUGGACUCCCAAAUAAGACUGCAUAUAUUAAAUCCUAACUCCACUACCUACUGAGUCUUGACCUUGGAUGGAUUGUCUAACCACAAUAAAACUUGUUAUUCUUAUUUAUAUUAGAGUUUAAUGAUAGUACCCACAUAAAGGUGGUAAUGAGGAAUUAAUAAUCAAUUAAUCUAAAGCAUUUGAUAAAGGGCCUGGCAGAUGGUAAAUACUCAAUAUAUGUUAGAAAUGAUGAUAAGAAAGAGAAGAAUGAUGACAAUAAUGGUUGAUGAUGGUGAUGAUGAUUAAGGGAGUAUGACAUUACAGUGUUGAAAUGAAUAGAUUCCUAUAAACUGUAGGGCUAAGUAUUUCCUAUUUAGAAGUAUGAUGCAUUACCCAGCAUCUGUCUGGCAACAUAGAAAGCACAUGCAUUUACAUUUUGAGUAAGAGAUAUGUUUAUGGAGUUAAUAGCUCUACAUAUAUAAGGAAUGAUGUAAAUAGUGUUACAUAGAAAAAGAAUGAUUUUAUAUAUCUUAUAUAGACAUGGGAGUGGUUUUGUCUUGUAAUUAAUGUUAAUAUACUAACCAUUGUUUCCAGAGUUUUACUUACUGAAAAUGUAACACUGAUAGUUCUUAAACACAAGCUGAACAAUGUGGAAUUACCUUUAGUAAGGAGACAGAGAAGUAAGACAUACUAUUUAUUAAAAAUCUACUCUAAGUACUGGACUUGGCCUUUCUGCAUGUUUCAGACCAUCUAAUCGUCAAAGUAUUAUUUAGUCUUUGAAGCAAUAAUGGAUAUUAACCUCUCAUAGAUGAAGAAAUUGGAGAUAGAUUUUGUAACUUCUUCAAUAUCAUAUAGAUGUGUCAUGGAGAAGAGAUUCAAUGUCAGAUCUCAAUUCCAAAGGCAGAAUUCAUCUCCUUUCCAUUAACACCUCUUAUUCUUACCCCAUAUUAACGACCAGCAUCAGCUACCAAAAGCAAAAUCAUGAGUUAAAUCCAGACAGCUCUUUUACAAGCAGGCUGCUUAUACGUGACUUGAUAAUCCACUAGUGAAAAUUCUAUCUAUCUUGGAAGAAAGGGGCUCAAAUCCACUGAAUUUUUAAAUAUUGUCAUGGGGUUCAAAAGCAUUCUGUACAAUUACAUUACAUAGUCUGUGGGUGCCUAGUAUGUCACAGCAGGAAAAUCCAUCUCCUUAGGAGUUGAGGGAAAUCUUGAUUAAAUUUUGGGUCUGUGCUUGACUUGGGCAAUUUACCAAAUCUUUCUCAGUCACAAUGUCUCCAUUUACAAAUAAAGGGAAUUAUAUAGUUUAACAAAUGAUUUUUAGGUUUGAAAUGCAUAACAAAGUAGAAAGUCUUACGCAUAACUCAAAUGAAAGUGAUUAUAAGCACAUCAGCUCAAAACCGAACUGGAAUUUGGAUGUAUUCUUAUGAAGACUAAGAACUAUUAAUUCUAUCUAUCAGUCAGGCGCCAAAAUAUUGUCUUAUUUGUAAGCUUUAUUCAAGUUUUUUUUAAUACUGCUGUUUUUGACAAAGUUAUGCAUUAUCUAUAUACUCCAAACACAACUGUGCCUUGAAUUGUGUCUUCACAUCCAUCUGAAAAGUUAAUAAUUACUUGUACAUAAAUAUACAAUUGUUUAUAGUACCGGUAUAUUAUUAUAUCUUCCUAAAUUUCCUAAACCCUACACAAAUGCAAAUGGUCAUUUCCACACAGACUUAUUUGUAAAUUUACUUCCUACUGUAAGGUGGAGCCCAAUAACAAAGUAAUUCACACUAGGUAGUGGAGAAUAGUUUUGGUUAGUAUUAAUUAGAAACAGAGGUAGUUGGGGGUUGGGAAGAGAAAAGAGGAUUGAGGGUGGAAAAAGACUUGAGUGUUCUGAAGUCAAGCAUUGGAAGAAAACAAAUAAGAGAUAAAAUGCCCCUGAGUCUUGGGAACACAUCUCCAAAUAUAUUUGGAUUGAACUGACUGAGAAGUACAAUGAGGAACUAAUGGAUGUAGGCCAGAAUGGUUUGUGCCACCCAAUUAUUUUUCAGCCUGGCAUUAUCAUUGCUGCAGCUGAGAUUAGAAACAAACUAAUAUUCUUUCUGAUUUAUGUAAGUAAAUAAAGCUUAUUCUGAACUCUUUUAGAUGAUUCUCAAUAUACUUGGUCUGACUUUGAACUCGGUUUUUAAGGCCAACAGAAUUAACAAAUAGAUAAAUUUGCAUGAGAUUCAUUAAAAAUCUUAAUAUAUGUUAAAAGUAAUUAAAUAGGCUUUUGGUCACAUCAGAGUAUGUGGGGGGGCAUAUGGGAUGGGAGAUGAAGUAGGAAUUAAAUAUGAAAGCAGCAGAAAUGUUUUAGAAUUCCAGGAAAAUGCACCUUUUAAUCAUCACUCAGGAUUGGCACAUUUUUAAAAAUGUUACUGUAUUUGUAUUUCCAAACAGUUAUUUAUAUGAUUUAGUCUAGUGCUGACCAAAUGAAGAAAAAAAAAUCCUCUCCUAAUAACUAUUAGUCAGAUGAUCUUAAAACUAAAGAAUCCAUUAACCAAAUGUGAUUCCUUAAUUAGUCAUUGAAAGAUUGUUUAUUUCCGUGUAGUGCACCCAGUUCCUUGAGUGAUGUCUCUCACCUAACAAACGUUCAGUAAGUGCAAGCUCUAGAAAGCCUUUCCCUGGUAAAUAUAAAGACUGUAUACAACCAAGCACUUGCAAUAUCUGCAUUUUUAUAAGAGUAUUACAUGAUAGUGAACAAUUUUUUUAAGUCACAAUAUGGCUACUUCAUUCUACAAAAUGUAUUCCAAAAGUCUCCGUGUUAUGUUAUGUAAAGCAAAAGGGAGAUAGGAAAAUAUCUCUGAGGGGUGAUGCAGGAAUGACAGACCCGAGGGUAGAAUCCAGCUGAAUGGCAUUGUCUUCUCUUUCUGUAAUGACUUUUUAUUCUCCUAAAACCACUUGCAUCCACAUAGAUAAACUGCAUUGCCAUGCAAUCUGUUUAUAUAUAGUGCCCUUCUUAAAAACGGUUCAAUUUGAAAUCCAAGAGAAAGUUAUAAAGAAGUAUAUAAGAAAGAAGAGAUUCAAUCGUAAGAAAAUUUUAAAGAAAAUUUACCAAACUAUCUAAAACAUAGUCACUGUAUUUACCUACCACUUUUAUGUCCUCCAUCUUAUCUUCCCUCUCCUCCAUUCACGCUAAGACUACCAGCCAGGAAGGAAUUCUUUCUUGACACCCAGUAGAGAGAGAAAAGUGGGGCUUCUUGCCUGAGGCCAUAGAGGUCUCCUAAGUACAAGAAACAGUCACCAAACCCAAGGUUCUCCACUCCAGAACUGGAGACAUAACUAACACACAUGGCUUCUCUUUGAAUACUGAGAGAGGAGAAUUUGUUUCUCUUCUUUUUAAAUGUACACUCUUGUGGAGGUUGGGUAUAGUUUUCUCUAUUAAUGAAGCAUUAAAAUGAAUCUGUUAAUUAAAAAGCUAACUUGUGCCAUCACUUAAUCUCUACCAAAUUUAAUUUCCAUCCAGUGAAGAAGAUAAAAAGUCCUUCCAACAAGACUAGGGCAGAUAGUAAUCAUACUGAAAUUUAAAACAGAAAACCUUUUUUAGGAAAUUGUGGUAAUAUAAAUAGUGUAUAAAUGUGCUUUUCACAGAUGAAUGGCAACAGGAAGAACUCUAGACGUACUCCAUGGUGGGAUACAGUCAUUUCAGCAUAAGAAAAUUUAGGUUGAAAGGAGACUUAAAGUUUAUUUCUUUUACUCUUUCAACUAGACACAUAUUUAGUAUAGGUCUAUAAAGAUACUAGCUUAGGAUUUAUAUACCAAAAUGCCUGUACUUUAAUCAACUGAGCUAAUGUUUAUUAUUUUGGAUGAUUUGUUAGUACUUGUGUUUUGAGCAUACGUGAACAUUUUGUCUUAUAUUUAAAAGUCCUAUAAAUUUAAAAAGUUAUAAAAGUAGAUUAAAAUGUUUGGCCAGAUUAUUACAUUAGUGUUACAUUUUUUUUUGUCCCUUAAUUUCAGCCCAGCAAUUAUGAUGUAUGGAUAAUUCAUUUUUCUGCUGAUUGAACACAUUUCUACAUUCAAAUUUAUCUCUACUAAAUCAAACAUGACUAUUAGAUCUGCUGUACUUAUUCCAAAUCCAGAAUGUUAUCUAGUUUUGCUUCAAAUACAUGAAAUAAAACUUUCUUCCUUUUGUUUUGCCUUUUCUGCUUAAGUAUAGGGCAUGCACAGAAAGAACAACUAAACAUGUAACCUUGUUCAAUUGAGGUUUGAGUCAAUCAGGGCUUCUAAUUAUGAUCUUACAUUGUUAUACAAUUAUAUUGCAGCUACAUCAGGAACUGAAUAAAGAAUCAAUAUUUUUUGAUUUAUAAAAUAAUUUCUCAAUUUUCUCAUUCAGGUGUU